rnacentral:rRNA from 1 species
AUGGUCUUUUGUUUAUAUAAAAGAUCUGGCCUGCCCAAUGAUUUUUUAAUGGCUGCAGUAUUUUGACUGUACAAAGGUAGCAUAAUCAUUUGUCUCUUAAUUGGAGUCUGGAAUGAAUGGUUGGAUGAAAGGUUUACUUUCUUUAUUUUAAGUAUAAAAUUUAAUUUUUGAAUCAGAAAGUUUAAAUAUUAAUAUAGGACGAGAAGACCCUAUAGAACUUUAUUUAUAUAAAAUAUUUAUUAAUUUGUAGAUUAUAAAUAUAUAUUUUUAUAUAAAUUUUAUUGGGGUGAUAAAAAAAAUUUUUUAACUUUUUUUAUUUUUAUCAUUUAUAUAUGUAUUUUUGAUCCUUUAAUAGGGAAUAUAAGAAUAAGUUACCUUAGGGAUAACAGCGUUAUUAUUUUAGAGAGUUCAUAUUGAUAAAAUAGUUUGCGACCUCGAUGUUGGAUUAAAAUUAAUCUCAGGAGUAGAAUAUUGAUGAUUAAGUCUGUUCGACUUUUAAAUUUUUACAUGAUC